rnacentral:rRNA from 1 species
ACACGACUACAUUAGAUACCCGUGUAGUCCAGGGUGUAAACGCUGCGGGCUUGGUGUUGGGGGUCCGUUUGAGGGCGCCCAGUGCCGGAGAGAAGUUGUUAAGCCUGCUGCUUGGGAGUACGUCCGCAAGGAUGAAACUUAAGGGAAUUGGCGGGGGAGCACCGCAACGGGAGGAGCGUGCGGUUCAAUUGGAUUCAACGCCGGACAACUCACCAGGAGCGACGGUUACAUGAAGGCCAGGCUGAUGACCUUGCCUGAUUUUCCG